GAUUAACGCUAGCGGCAGGCCUAAUACAUGCAAGUCGAACGGCAGCGGGUCCAGCAAUGGAUGCCGGCGAGUGGCGCACGGGUGCGUAACGCGUAUGCAACCUACCUUUGACUGGGGGAUAGCCCCGAGAAAUCGGGAUUAAUACCCCAUAAUAUUAUGAAGUGGCAUCUCUUUAUAAUUAAAGCUCCGGCGGUCUUAGAUGGGCAUGCGUGACAUUAGCUUGUUGGUGAGGUAACGGCUCACCAAGGCGACGAUGUCUAGGGGUUCUGAGAGGAUUUUCCCCCACACUGGUACUGAGACACGGACCAGACUCCUACGGGAGGCAG
rnacentral:rRNA from 1 species